rnacentral:tRNA from 1 species
AUGCAUGUAGCUCAGUUGGCAGAGCAUUGGGCUAGUAUUCCAAAGGUUGUAGGUUCGAUUCCCACCGUGGACA